CUUUUUCAAUCUUCCGGGUACUUAACUGUCAGACGGUAUGAUGUGUAAGGAGAACAAUGGAGUUUAAAAAUUUAAUCCCCUAUCUUGCAGGAUUUUCUUUAGCAUUGUCAUACGAUGAUUUAUCAUACAAUAAAGAAGCCACACUAUCACGCGCAUAUGUAGGUUUGGGCAAUUAUGCUGCCAGAUUUGCUGUUGAUAGAAACACAUUGACGUGUAUGAGAGCACAGGAAAUAGGACUAACCUCCCCUGGGAAAACCGUAUGGUGGAAGGUGGAUCUUGGUGGAGUGUAUAUCAUAUACAGUAUUGCCAUACUUUUUAAAAAUUACGAGGUUGUUGGUUGUGCAACAUUUGCAUAUGGCAGAAGCUGUAACAACUCCUGUCCAAACAACUGUAAAUACAUGAGAUGUCACGUACAACAUGGAACAUGUUUUCUCUGCAACUCUGGAUGGUUGGGGAGAUUUUGUGAUACAAAAUGUAGUGAAGGGUUGUACGGUGUCAACUGUAGUCGACAGUGUAAAGGACACUGUAGAGACGGUACUACCUGUAAUCACGUGACUGGUCUGUGUGACAGAGGAUGCGAUAAUGGAUGGACAGGAUUUAACUGUGAGAAAACGUGUGAUGAUGGUACUUUUGGUUACGACUGUCUGAACAACUGUAGUGGUCACUGUCUGAAUGGUUCUCUCUGCAACAAUCAGACCGGUCACUGUGACAGGGGAUGUAACCCUGGAUAUACCGAUAGCGACUGUAGCAGAGAAUGUGUAAAAUCCUAUGGUGAAAACUGCAAACAUCCCUGCAGUCAGCAUUGUAUCAACCAGACAUGUGAUAGAUUUACUGGAAAAUGUUUAUCCUGGUGUCACGAGGGUUUUUAUGGAGAAAAGUGUACUAAAGAAAGUCAACAGAGAAAUCAAUAUGCAGAGCAUAUUACACCCUGGAUAGCUGCAUUUUCCAUAGUCCUUUUCAUUGUAGUGCUUCUCAUAACGGGCGGAUUUUUUUUCUUUUGGUAA
rnacentral:sRNA from 1 species